rnacentral:rRNA from 1 species
UACGAAGGGGGCGAGCGUUAUUCGGAAUCACUGGGCGUAAAGCGUGCGUAGGCGGUUUUGUAAGUUGGAAGUGAAAGCCCAGGGCUUAACCCUGGAAUUGCUUUCAAAACUACAAGACUCGGAUUCGGGAGAGGAUAGCGGAAUUGUCAGUGUAGCAGUGAAAUGCGUAGAUAUUGACAGGAACACCAGUGGCGCAAGCGGCUAUCUGGACCGACAUCGACGCUGAGGCACGAAAGCGUGGGGAUCAAACAGG